AACGAACGCUGGCGGCAGGCUUAACACAUGCAAGUCGAACGCCCCGCAAGGGGAGUGGCAGACGGGUGAGUAACGCGUGGGAAUCUACCCAGAACUUCGGAACAACUGAGGGAAACUUCAGCUAAUACCGGAUACGCCCUACGGGGGAAAGAUUUAUCGGUUCUGGAUGAGCCCGCGUUGGAUUAGCUAGUUGGUGAGGUAAAGGCUCACCAAGGCGACGAUCCAUAGCUGGUCUGAGAGGAUGAUCAGCCACACUGGGACUGAGACACGGCCCAGACUCCUACGGGAGGCAGCAGUGGGGAAUAUUGGACAAUGGGCGAAAGCCUGAUCCAGCCAUGCCGCGUGAGUGAUGAAGGCCUUAGGGUGUAAAGCUCUUUCAGUAGGGAAGAUAAUGACGGUACCAACAGAAGAAGACCCCGGCUAACUUCGUGCCAGCAGCCGCGGUAAU
rnacentral:rRNA from 1 species